CCUACGGGGGGCAGCAGUGAGGAAUAUUGGUCAAUGGCCGGAAGGCUGAACCAGCCAUGCCGCGUGAAGGUCAGUGCCCUAUUGGCGUUAAACUUCUUUUGUGCGGGAGCAAUAAUGGUCACGUGUCCCGGCCCGGAGAGUACCCGGCGAAAAAGCAUCGGCUAACUCCGUGCCAGCAGCCGCGGUAAUACGGAGGAUGCGAGCGUUAUCCGGAUUUAUUGGGUUUAAAGGGUGCGUAGGCGGGCGUUUAAGUCAGCGGUAAAAAUUCGGGGCUCAACCCCGUCCGGCCGUUGAAACUGGGGGCCUUGAGUGGGCGAGAAGAAGGCGGAAUGCGUGGUGUAGCGGUGAAAUGCAUAGAUAUCACGCAGAACCCCGAUUGCGAAGGCAGCCUUCCGGCGCCCGACUGACGCUGAGGCACGAAAGUGCGGGGAUCGAACAGGAUUAGAUACCCGGGUAGUC
rnacentral:rRNA from 1 species